rnacentral:rRNA from 1 species
AUGAGGAAGACAGAGAGGAAGGAGAGGAGCGGGCCCAGGCCGGUCCUGGUUGGUCGUCUUGCCCGACGGCGGCUGGCUAAUCCGGCCAUACGGAGGUGGCGGCGCGAGAGGAGGGCUGUGGGGACGGUGGGAACGAGGCAGGGCUCGGGAGGGUCCUGGAGGCACCGCAAGGAUGACGGGGAGGAGCUGCUGGAGGUCGCUGGCUCGGGAAAGGGUUGCAGGCGCAGGGCGCUUGGCCUCGGGUCGUCGGCGGCCGGCCGGCGCGAUUCGGUGGGCGCUCGGGAGAUCGGGAGCCCGAUCCAGAGCGAGGGAAGCUGCGGGAAGGCCCUGGAUGGCGCAAGGAGAUCCCUUGGUUCUUCAUCCGAGGGUGAAGAAGGGAAGCUACAGGCUGGAAUGGAUCUGGACAAGUGGAUCUGA